UACGGAGGGGGCUAGCGUUGUUCGGAUUUAUUGGGCGUAAAGAGCGUGUGGGCGGCUUGGUAGGUCCGCUGUGAAAACUCGAGGCUCAACCUCGAGAUGUCGGCGGAAACCACUUGGCUAGAGUCCGGAAGAGGAGAGUGGAAUUCCCGGUGUAGCGGUGAAAUGCGCAGAUAUCGGGAAGAACACCUAUGGCGAAGGCAGCUCUCUGGGACGGUACUGACGCUGAGACGCGAAAGCGUGGGGAGCGAACAGG
rnacentral:rRNA from 1 species